rnacentral:misc_RNA from 1 species
ACAAAAAAAGCAUCGGGCUCGUCGGCAGAGCACCGAGGACGGCAACGAAACGAAACACAGCCGAGGGGUUGCUGCUGUUUGGCAAGUGUCGUGUCGACCUCGAACGCCGAGCGACCAGGUCGCAAGGCCGAGGGAUACGGCGACUCGCUUGGGGGGGGUCGGUUCAAAGCCUCUCCCCCCAGCGCCUUGGGCCGUCGAAGCCUUUUUUCUUCGGAACAAAGGGCUCCGUCGCCUUAAGUACAGACGAGCUCGACCGCGACCCCGGGCUUCCGGAACGGUGGGUCGCAAACAAAACUCAUAGCACUCGGCAUCGUCGGGAGGUUGGCCUCGACGUUAUAAGCACCCGAGUAUGUACUUUCUCACGUAUACCGAUAGCUUUUUACACACAAAAACCCGGGGGGCGGAGUCGGGAGGCAGGCAACUAAGUCCUCAACUCUGCUUUUUUUUCUCGGGGGGUCGGCCGGCGUACCUCGUUGCGCGCCGAGACCGACCGAAUUGGCAUCUUAUUUUUUUGA